rnacentral:rRNA from 1 species
GACGAACCGUGCAAACGUUGUUCGGAAUCACUGGGCUUAAAGGGCGCGUAGGCGGGCGGUCAAGUCUGUGGUGAAAUCCUCCGGCUCAACCGGAGAAUAGCUGGAGAUACUGACGAGCUCGAGUCCGGGAGAGGUGAGUGGAACUGCGAGUGUAGAGGUGAAAUUCGUAGAUAUUCGCAAGAACACCAGUGGCGAAGGCGGCUCACUGGCCCGGUACUGACGCUGAGGUGCGAAAGCGUGGGGAGCAAAC